rnacentral:rRNA from 1 species
GUCGAGGGGCAUCAGUUUGGUUUGCUUGCAACCAAAGCUGGCGACCGGCGCACGGGUGAGUAACACGUAUCCAACCUGCCUCAUACUCGGGGAUAGCCUUUCGAAAGAAAGAUUAAUAUCCGAUAGCAUAUAUUUCCCGCAUGGGUUUUAUAUUAAAGAAAUUCGGUAUGAGAUGGGGAUGCGUUCCAUUAGUUUGUUGGCGGGGUAACGGCCCACCAAGACUACGAUGGAUAGGGGUUCUGAGAGGAAGGUCCCCCACAUUGGAACUGAGACACGGUCCAAACUCCUACGGGAGGCAGCAGUGAGGAAUAUUGGUCAAUGGACGCGAGUCUGAACCAGCCAAGUAGCGUGAAGGAUGACUGCCCUAUGGGUUGUAAACUUCUUUUAUAUGGGAAUAAAGUGGUCCACGUGUGGAUUUUUGUAUGUACCAUAUGAAUAAGGAUCGGCUAACUCCGUGCCAGCAGCCGCGGUAAUACGGAGGAUCCGAGCGUUAUCCGGAUUUAUUGGGUUUAAAGGGAGCGUAGGCGGAUUGUUAAGUCAGUUGUGAAAGUUUGCGGCUCAACCGUAAAAUUGCAGUUGAUACUGGCAGUCUUGAGUGCAGUAGAGGUGGGCGGAAUUCGUGGUGUAGCGGUGAAAUGCUUAGAUAUCACGAAGAACUCCGAUUGCGAAGGCAGCUCACUGGAGUGUAACUGACGCUGAUGCUCGAAAGUGUGGGUAUCAAACAGGAUUAGAUACCCUGGUAGUCCACACAGUAAACGAUGAAUACUCGCUGUUUGCGAUAUACAGUAAGCGGCCAAGCGAAAGCAUUAAGUAUUCCACCUGGGGAGUACGCCGGCA